rnacentral:rRNA from 1 species
UGCAGAAUCCCGUGAACCAUCGAGUUUUUGAACGCAAGUUGCGCCCGAAGCCAUUUGGUUUAGGGCACGUCUGCUUGGGCGUCA